rnacentral:rRNA from 1 species
AUAGCUGGUUACUUGAUAAAAGAAUUUUAGUUCUACCUAAAGCUUCCAUAAGUCUAAUAAACUAAUAUUAAUGCUUUAGAGUUAUUCAAAUAAGGUACAGCCUAUUUGAAUAAGGAAACAACCUAAACUAAUGGGUUAAUUCUGCUACAGUGUACCAAAGUGGGCCUAAAAGCAGCCACCUUUAACAAUAGCGUCAAAGCUUUUCUACACAGCGCACUCAAUUUCUCAACCCAAUCUAAACCCUUUAUUCACAUCGAGUAAUUCUAUAUAUUUAUAGAACAUAAAAUGUUAAAACUAGUAACAAGAAGAAAACCCUUCUCUUAAAUGUGAGUAUAGGCCAGAAAGGAUAAACCGCUGUCAAUUAACACUAAUGAUUCUUAAUUAGUAACGCCACAAGAAAACCCUAAUAAAACAAGUGUUAAACUAACACAAGAGCAUUUCAAGAAAGAUUAAAAGAAAAAGAAGGAACUCGGCAAACACCAACCCCGCCUGUUUACCAAAAACAUCGCCUCUUGAUAAAUAUAAGAGGUCCAGCCUGCCCAGUGACCUAGUUCAACGGCCGCGGUAUCCUAACCGUGCGAAGGUAGCGUAAUCACUUGUUCUUUAAAUGAGGACUAGUAUGAAUGGCACCACGAGGGUUACACUGUCUCCUUUUUUCAAUCAGUGAAACUAAUUUUCCCGUGAAGAAGCGGGAAUUUUUUUAUAAGACGAGAAGACCCUAUGGAGCUUUAAACAAAUUAACACUUGCUGCCCAAAAUAACUCUCCCAGGAACACACACACAGCAUAGCACGAUGAUUAAUAGUUUUUGAUUGGGGUGAUCACGGAGUAAAAAACAACCUCCAUGCCGAAAGGGCUCUUCCCUGAGCACAAAGCCACAACUUUAAGCACUAAAAAAUUAACGUUUAUUGACCCAAUAUUUUGAUCAACGAACCAAGUUACCCUAGGGAUAACAGCGCAAUCCACUUCAAGAGCCCCUAUCGACAAGUGGGUUUACGACCUCGAUGUUGGAUCAGGGUAUCCCAGUGGUGCAGCCGCUACUAAUGGUUCGUUUGUUCAACGAUUAAAACCCU